AUUUCGAGGCAUUACUCUUUCUCUCUCUCUGUUUCUCUUUCUGCAACAAAGGAAAGUUUUCCUUUCAUUUUCUUACUCUCAGCUCCUCUCUAUCUGCAACAAGUUCCUCUCUUUCUUCUUUCUUCCUUCCUUGGUUUUAUCGAUGGAGAUUGAAGCUGCAAGCGUCGUUUUGCUUCUUAGACUUUCAUCUGUUACACUGCAGCCUGCAUAGCCUUUUGAUGUUUUAGCUCUAGAUCAAGUAUGAGUUGAAGCUUAUUAUCUGGAUCUGUUGUUUUCUAAGAUAUUAAGCUGAUCCUAGCUUCAAAUUCGACAAUCGCUAAUUGAAGCAUGUGUGGUGGUCCAGAUCGAUCAUCAAAGUCAUCUGCUCCAUCUUCAUCUACUGUAGAAAAAACACCCAACGCCAAAGAUAUGAAUCAUUUAACUGUUGAAAUUGGAGACUCUUUUUCCUGUUUACUUGACCUUGCGGCUAACAAUGAUGUUGAAGGCUUUAAGCUGUUGAUAGAGCGUGAUGCUUCCUCAAUUGAUGAGGUUGGGUACUGGUAUGGCCGGCAAAAGGGAUCAAAGAAUAUUGUUCUUGACCAUAGAACACCACUAAUGGUUGCUGCUACAUAUGGCAGUGUUGAUGUUCUUAAGUUUAUACUUGCUCAUACAGAUGCUGAUGUUAAUCUCUCAUGUGGGAUGGACAAAACCACUGCACUUCACUGUGCUGCUUCUGGUGGACCUCUUAAUGCUGUUGAUGUUGUUAAACUGCUUUUAUCUGCAGGUGCAGAUCCGAAUUGCCUAGAUGGUAACGGCUAUCGCCCCAUUGAUGUUAUUAUUGUUCCGCCAAAGCUGCAUAGCCUGAGAGUUGCUCUGGAAGAGCUUCUCUCAAACACUGUUUCUAAUGGUUCAUCAGGUGAGCAUAAUUCUAAUGGGUUUGUUGGUGAGCAUUCUUCUAAUGUCUCUGUUGGUGACUGCUCGCAUCUGCUGAUGUCAUUAAGAACCUCUAAUACUAGCUCACCAACCCUUUCAUCAUCCCCAGAAAAUGGCUCACCACCUUCUCCUUCUGUGUUGGUAUCUUCUCCAAUGGCCUCAAAGUACAAUGAUCUGCCAAUAAAUACUGCUGAGAAGAAAGAAUAUCCAAUUGAUCCA
rnacentral:misc_RNA from 1 species